rnacentral:rRNA from 1 species
AGUAACGCGUGGAUAACCUGCCUUGCACUGGGGGAGUAACACUUAGAAAUAGGUGCUAAUACCGCAUAAGCGCACAGCUUCGCAUGAAGCAGUGUGAAAAACUACCGGUGGUAUACGAUGGAUCCGCGUCUGAUUAGCUGGUUGGCGGGGUAAAGGCCCACCAAGGCGACGAUCAGUAGCCGGCCUGAGAGGGUGAACGGCCACAUUGGGACUGAGACACGGCCCAAACUCCUACGGAAGGCAGCAG